AGCCUGAGAGACCCACGGAGGCUUCGCGGGGAGACGCGGCGGCGGCGGCGGAGGAUGAGCCUGCAGAGCGCGCAGUACCUCCGGCAGGCAGAAGUCCUGAAGGCUGACAUGACAGAUUCUAAGCUGGGUCCAGCUGAAGUCUGGACAUCCAGGCAGGCUCUGCAGGACCUGUACCAGAAAAUGCUAGUUACUGAUUUGGAAUACGCUUUAGACAAGAAAGUAGAACAGGAUCUGUAAGUAUUACUUAUGAUUUGGGAAGUCCCUGUAAGAUCAAGAAUUUCACCAAGACUUUAAAACAGUUUGGUUCGUUAUUUAUUUUUCAACCUAU
rnacentral:sRNA from 1 species